AGUGAACGCUGGCGGUAGGCCUAACACAUGCAAGUCGAACGGCAGCACAGUAAGAGCUUGCCCUUACGGGUGGCGAGUGGCGGACGGGUGAGGAAUACAUCGGAAUCUACUUUUUCGUGGGGGAUAACGUAGGGAAACUUACGCUAAUACCGCAUACGACCUACGGGUGAAAGCAGGGGAUCUUCGGACCUUGCGCGAUUGAAUGAGCCGAUGUCGGAUUAGCUAGUUGGCGGGGUAAAGGCCCACCAAGGCGACGAUCCGUAGCUGGUCUGAGAGGAUGAUCAGCCACACUGGAACUGAGACACAGUCCAGACUCCUACGGGAGGCAGCAGUGGGGAAUAUUGGACAAUGGGCGCAAGCCUGAUCCAGCCAUACCGCGUGGGUGAAGAAGGCCUUCGGGUUGUAAAGCCCUUUUGUUGGGAAAGAAAAGCAGCAGGUUAAUACCCCGCUGUUCUGACGGUACCCAAAGAAUAAGCACCGGCUAACUUCGUG
rnacentral:rRNA from 1 species